UUAUCAGUCUUUGAGUUGCCUGCCUCAGAGUGGGCAGGAAGAUGUAGUCAAUCAAUGAAUGACAUUUCCUGCACCUCUAAAAGGACUAGCCUCCAGUGAGUGGCUAACUGCAUAAGGUGGUCAGUUCCCUGUACCAGUUAUCUAUUGCUGCAUAACCGCCACCACCCCCAGAAAGAGUGGUUUAAAAUGAUCAGCAUUGACUAUUGCUCGUAGUCUGUGGGUUGGCUGGGUGGUUCUUCUGGUCUGGGCAGGGCUCGGUUGAUCUUGGCUGGUGCACUCUUGCUUCCACAGUCAGCUGGUGGGUCAGCUGGGGCUAGCUGGUCUCGAGUGGCCUCAGCUAGGUUGGUUCUUCUCUGCUCUGCGUGGCCUCUCGUCAUCCAGCAGGCCAGCUUGGGCUUGUUCUCGUGGUGGACGCAGAAUCCCAAGAGAACAAGUAGAAGCCGGAAGGCAUCUUGAGGCCCAGGCUAGGAAGCAGGACGUGCUUUCAUCACCUUAAUCACUUCCUGUUGGCUAAAGCGGCCCAGGUUCUAGGAUAGAGACCUAGAUUUCUUCAUGAGAGGAGCAGCAAAGUCAUAUUGUCAAGGGCAUGGAUACAGGGAGGGAGGGAAGAUUGGGACUUUAUUUUAAAAGCUCAAUUUGACCCACGCUCCAACACUCAUUCCGUAUCAGUUAAGGAAGUUCUAGUCCCUGGUCAGUGAUUGCUUCAACAACGGGCAGGUAACCCAAUUCUGGGCCAUGAGACAGGAGGAAAGCCUGCUGGGGUUUUCUGGGAAAGGUUUCCUUGCUCCUCAGGGGGAGCCCUGGAGAGAGAUGGCCUCUAUUUUCCUUCUGGUUAUGACGCCUGUAUUUGUAUCCGCCAUCCAAGGUCCAGCCGCAGGUGAAACCAAGGCCGAGACGCCAGAGCAGAGAAAUGAAGGAACCCGGGUCUGCGGAGGCCUGGUGGGGCUGCUGCAUCCACCAGGCCAGAAACCUACCCUGCCUCUGGACUUCCUGCUGAACAAGAUAUUACAUUUCCAGCUUCUUUAAGCCGCUUUACAUCAGGCUUCCUGUUCCUUGGACCAAAAGCAUCCUCAGUGAUGCCCUGGGGACUCUUUCGGUCUCUGGGAACCUGCUCUGCCUGAUGCGCCAGGUCAGAACUGGAGGCUCUAGGCUUUUCCCUUUGAUGAUGCUGGACGGUCCCGAAUGCAGCCCCCAAGCUUCUGCCUUGCGUUUUGCACAGGGACCACCACCUGCCCACUGCACCGAGGACCCUCAGCCGCAACGGCCGAACCAGCGGGCAUCAGCCGGAUUCAGAAGUCCUGGGUUCUGGAGUUCUUUUCUUCUGCUGGUUUUGAUCUCUGUCUUUCAUUGUACAAGCCGGCCUCCCGUGUCCAGUGAUCCUUGGCUGUGAGUUCAUAUUGAAGAGCAGGAAACUGAAAACAGAUCAUCAGAAGCUCCCUGCCUGUGGGCAGGGCAUGUGGACGGGGGGCCCGGGUUCAAUCCCUGGUCAGGGAACUAGAUCCCACAUGAAUGCUGCAACUAAGAGUUCACACGCCACAACUAAGGAGCCCGUGUGCCACACCUAAGGAGCCAGCGAGCCACAAUCAAGGAGCCUGCAAGCUGCAACUAAGGAGCCCACCUGCCACAACUAAGACCCAGCGCAACCAAAUAAAUAAAUAAAUAUAUUUUUUAAAAAUGAACCAGACAUGCUCUGCCAUCAGGGAUGAGGACCUACUAAUUUCCGAGCACCUACUAUGUGCCAGACGCUGAAUCUGGAUCAGGGUUUUGUCCCUCAGGGAACAGUUGGCUAUGUCUGGAGACAUUUUUGUUGUCACCACUGGGGAGUGGGUGUGGGUACUACUGGUGUCUAGUGGGUAGAGGCCAGGGAUGCUGCUACAAUACAAAGGACCAUCCCCACAACAGAAAAGUCAGUAGUGCCAAGGUGGAGAGCCCUGCUCUGGAAUGAAGAAAAACGCGUUCCCUGGCUUCAUGGGAAAGGAACAAAGAAUUUCUAUCUCCUCAGCACCUACUACACACUUUCACGAACCCCUUUGGCCCAGGGGUCGUUUGCUUUCAGCCUGGGACAGGUGCGUGGAGAUGGGAGCCACACGCCUGCCUUCCUGCCCAACCCCCCCUCCCCCUUCAGCCUCUGGGGAAGAGCACAGGGUGGCAGCAGCUGCCAGGGUGCGAGCUGGCCCAGACCUGUGGCCCUGCUUGACGUUGGUCCCCGCCAAGCCAUGUGACGAGACCAGGCCACAAGAAAGAGGUUUCAACAAGCAUUAUCGCUUCCUGGAACUCCGACUCCGCGACUUCCCCGAAGACCGGCUGUGCCUGGCGGGCGGGCUGUGCACGGAGGGGACCGGGCUGCUGCCUUCCUCCUCCGCUGCCCCCACAGCUGCCACUCUCUAUCUCAGUCUGACUACCUGGAAAUACUCCACCCCUCCGGGCCCAGCACCCCUAUGGUUUGGCUGUCAGGUCAGCACCGGCCCCAGGAGUGGCGGGGUAAGGCUGGUCCAGAAAGUCCUUCCAAUGACCUCUGGGAUGCUCGGGCUGAGCUGGACCGGGCUGGGACCCCGGAUGUCCAGAAACCCACCCUGUCUCCUCUCUGCCCCUGACGGGGGCAGCUGACGACCAGGUUGGGCACAGAUUUUCCUCGGUGUUACUGGUAGGAAAAUGGACACAGAUAUUCUGCUCCAUUUCAUCUGCCCACCAGAUGGGGGACACUUGGUAGACAGACAUACAAUUUCUGUUUCUGUCUGGCUGGUUUGGGCCUUGGAAA